CUAUCAUGCAGUCGAGGGGCAGCGCGGUAGCAAUACUGGCGGCGACCGGCAAACGGGUGCGGAACACGUACGCAACCUUCCUCUAAGCGGGAGAUAGCCCGGAGAAAUCCGGAUUAAUACCCCAUAGGAUUGUGGAUUGGCAUCAAUCAGCAAUUAAAGAUUUAUCACUUAGAGAUGGGCGUGCGUCUGAUUAGGUAGUUGGUGAGGUAACGGCUCACCAAGCCGACGAUCAGUAACUGGCGUGAGAGCGCGACCAGUCACACGGGCACUGAGACACGGGCCCGACUCCUACGGGAGGCAGCAGUAAGGAAUAUUGGUCAAUGGACGCAAGUCUGAACCAGCCAUGCCGCGUGGAGGAUGAAGGUCCUCUGGAUUGUAAACUUCUUUUAUCUGGGAAGAAAUGCUUUUUUUCUAAAGAGCUUGACGGUACCAGAUGAAUAAGCACCGGCUAACUCCGUGCCAGCAGCCGCGGUAAUACGGAGGGUGCAAGCGUUAUCCGGAUUCACUGGGUUUAAAGGGUGCGUAGGCGGAUUAGAAAGUCCGUUGUGAAAUCUCUGAGCUUAACUCGGAAAUUGCGGUGGAUACUAUUAGUCUUGAAUACUGUGGAGGUUAGCGGAAUAUGUCAUGUAGCGGUGAAAUGCAUAGAUAUGACAUAGAACACCAAUUGCGAAGGCAGCUGGCUACACAGAUAUUGACGCUGAGGCACGAAAGCGUGGGGAUCAAACAGGAUUAGAUACCCUGGUAGUCCACGCCCUAAACGAUGAUUACUCGACAUUUGCGAUACACAGCAAGUGUCUGAGCGAAAGCAUUAAGUAAUCCACCUGGGAAGUACGACCGCAAGGUUGAAAC
rnacentral:rRNA from 1 species